rnacentral:rRNA from 1 species
CAAUAGCGUAUAUUAAAGUUGUUGCAGUUAAAAAGCUCGUAGUUGGAUUUGUGGCGUACGGUGUGUUCGGGGCACUUGUUGUCUGAGUAACCUGCUGUUGCCAUCCUUGGGUGGAACCUGUGUGGCAUUAGGUUGUCGUGCAGGGGAUGCCCAUCAUUUACUGUGAAAAAAUUAGAGUGUUCAAAGCAGGCUUAUGCCGUUGAAUAUAUUAGCAUGGAAUAAUGAGAUAGGACUUUUUUGCUAUUUUGUUGGUUUGCGCAAAGAGGUAAUGAUUAAUAGGGACAGUUGGGGGUAUUCGUAUUCCAUUGUCAGAGGUGAAAUUCUUGGAUUUUUGGAAGACGAACUACUGCGAAAGCAUUUACCAAGGAUGUUUUCAUUAA